UUCCUGGUGGCUCAGAUGAUAAAGUGUCUGCCUAUAAUGCGGGAGACCCAGGUUCAAUGCCUGGGUCGGGAAG
rfam:TPA: Bos taurus chromosome 24, whole genome shotgun sequence.